rnacentral:rRNA from 1 species
CGAAGGAGUGGCGAACGGGUGAGUAAUACAUAAGCAACCUACCCACGAAGACUGGGAUAAUCUCUGGAAACGGGGACUAAUACCGGAUAGGUAAUCGGAAGGCAUCUUCUGGUUAUUAAAGGUUAAAAACACUGGUGGAUGGGCUUAUGGCGCAUUAGUUAGUUGGUGAGGUAACGGCCCACCAAGACGAUGAUGCGUAGCCGGCCUGAGAGGGUGAACGGCCACAUUGGGACUGAGACACGGCCCAGACUCCUACGGGAGGCAGCAGAG